UGAUUUGCAUCAAGAGUCGCCACUCGUUGUAGUUCGUUCGUGUCAACAUCGGAAAAACUAGUAACGCUGCGCUUGCCUCCUUCACCGCACGUUCCACCAUGACGCGACGCCCUUCACCGUCCUCGUCUGUCUUGUUGGUGCGAUCCUCCCGUGAAGGAGAAGUUGAUGUGGAGAGAGAGCCUAUUUUCGCCAUUAGUUCCAACCAGGCUCUGAUACCA
rnacentral:lncRNA from 1 species